GUCCCAGUAUGACCCUAAGUCCAAAGGACAUAUUCUGUGCCUGUUUCAUUAAAAGGUAACUACAGGCCACCUGGGUGGCUCAGUAGGGUCAUGAUCCAAGGGUCCUGGGAUCGAGCCCCUCAUCGGGCUCCCUGCUCAGUGAGAAGCCUGCUUCCUCCUCUCCCAUUCCCUCUGCUUGUGUUCCUUUUUGCUGUGCCUUGCUUUCAAAUAAAUCUUAAACUAUAAAGAAAUGAGUCAUAUACUUUUAAAAUUGUUCAUUUUAUUAAAUAAUCUAGAAUGUCAGACCAGUGCAUUGGUCUGACACUUCUUCCCUGUCCCACAGCAUCCCCAGGAAGCGUAGGGGCAUGGGAUUCGGUUAGGCUCCAGCGCUCCCUUUAUUCAAGACAACAUGGAAAGAAAGCCCAAAGGCGGAUCCUUGCAUAUCAGGGAAGCCGCGUUCAUCUUUCAACCGCCUCUAAAGAGGAAGAGGUCUCAAACCCAAAUGGUCCCCAUGAAAUUAUGUAGAACGGGGCAGACAUGGAAGACACCAGUCCACACCAUCCCAACUCUCACUCUUAGCAUUAUUUCUAGUUUGGAAAAGGGGGAAAAAAACAGAUGAACUAUAAUAAAAAUGAAGUGAGCAUUUUUAAGAAAACUUUGAUGGAAACAUCUGAAUUCAACUCCAGAAAAAAGUGCUACCAAGGGAAAAUAAAGU